rnacentral:rRNA from 1 species
UACGUAGGGUGCAAGCGUUGUCCGGAAUUAUUGGGCGUAAAGAGUUCGUAGGCGGUCUGUCACGUCGGCUGUGAAAACCCGAGGCUCAACCUCGGGCCUGCAGUCGAUACGGGCAGACUAGAGUUCGGUAGGGGAGACUGGAAUUCCUGGUGUAGCGGUGAAAUGCGCAGAUAUCAGGAGGAACACCGGUGGCGAAGGCGGGUCUCUGGGCCGAAACUGACGCUGAGGAGCGAAAGCGUGGGGAGCGAACAGG